GGACGAACGCUGGCGGCGCGCCUAAUACAUGCAAGUCGAGCGAGAAGACGUAGCAAUACGUUUGUAAAGCGGCGAACGGGUGAGGAAUACAUGGGUAACCUACCCUCGAGUGGGGAAUAACUAGCCGAAAGGUUAGCUAAUACCGCGUACGCUUCUUGGACUUCGGUUCAGGGAGGAAAGCGAUGCCGAGGGUAUCGCGCUCUUGGAUGGGCUCAUGUCCUAUCAGCUUGUUGGUGAGGAACGGCUCACCAAGGCUUCGACGGUAGCUGGUCUGAGAGGACGAUCAGCCACA
rnacentral:rRNA from 1 species